GCACUUGCUUCAGUAGUGCAUCUACCAAAGUCAAAAUGAUACAGGGAAGAUUAGCAUGCUCCUCUCUCUCAAAGAUGGCAUGUAUUCAUGAAGCAUUUUGUAUAUUU